UGGGGAAUUUUGGACAAUGGGCGAAAGCCUGAUCCAGCAAUGCCGCGUGUGUGAAGAAGGCCUUCGGGUUGUAAAGCACUUUUGUCCGGAAAGAAAUCCUUGGCUCUAAUACAGUCGGGGGAUGACGGUACCGGAAGAAUAAGCACCGGCUAACUACGUGCCAGCAGCCGCGGUAAUACGUAGGGUGCAAGCGUUAAUCGGAAUUACUGGGCGUAAAGCGUGCGCAGGCGGUUUGCUAAGACCGAUGUGAAAUCCCCGGGCUCAACCUGGGAACUGCAUUGGUGACUGGCAGGCUAGAGUAUGGCAGAGGGGGGUAGAAUUCCACGUGUAGCAGUGAAAUGCGUAGAGAUGUGGAGGAAUACCGAUGGCGAAGGCAGCCCCCUGGGCCAAUACUGACGCUCAUGCACGAAAGCGUGGGGAGCAAACAGGAUUAGAUACCCUGGUAGUCCACGCCCUAAACGAUGUC
rnacentral:rRNA from 1 species